AACGAACGCUGGCGGCAGGCUUAACACAUGCAAGUCGAGCGCCCCGCAAGGGGAGCGGCAGACGGGUGAGUAACGCGUGGGAAUCUACCGUGCCCUACGGAAUAGCUCCGGGAAACUGGAAUUAAUACCGUAUACGCCCUACGGGGGAAAGAUUUAUCGGGGUAUGAUGAGCCCGCGUUGGAUUAGCUAGUUGGUGGGGUAAAGGCCUACCAAGGCGACGAUCCAUAGCUGGUCUGAGAGGAUGAUCAGCCACAUUGGGACUGAGACACGGCCCAAACUCCUACGGGAGGCAGCAGUGGGGAAUAUUGGACAAUGGGCGCAAGCCUGAUCCAGCCAUGCCGCGUGAGUGAUGAAGGUCUUAGGAUUGUAAAGCUCUUUCACCGGUGAAGAUAAUGACGGUAACCGGAGAAGAAGCCCCGGCUAACUUCGUGCCAGCAGCCGCCGCAGUAA
rnacentral:rRNA from 1 species